rnacentral:rRNA from 1 species
UACGGGGGGAGCAAGCGUUGUUCGGAUUUACUGGGCGUAAGGGCGCGUAGGCGGCCACCGCAAGUCGACUGUGGAAUCUCCGGGCUUAACCCGGAAAGGUCAGCCGAUACUGCGGGGCUAGAGUGCAGAAGGGGCAACUGGAAUUCUCGGUGUAGCGGUGAAAUGCGUAGAUAUCGAGAGGAACACCUGCGGCGAAGGCGGGUUGCUGGGCUGACACUGACGCUGAGGCGCGAAAGCUAGGGGAGCGAACGGG